rnacentral:lncRNA from 1 species
AAAUAGGAAUUAAACUUAUCUAUAUUAAUCCUAACCCUCUUACAUUUCUGGAUUGCGAUAUAAACAAUGAAUUAUUUCAAACGAAGAUCGUAAAUAUCAGUUUAAAAAAUGGAUUUAUGUAGUACAAUCGAAUAUGUUUUUAUAUACAUCUUAAUUUUACACAUAGCAGAUAUAGUAAAACAUUAAUUGUUACUACUUACAUGUAUGUAUUAUAUAUAUUUAAUACUAACACCA